GUGUAUAGGUACUUUUAUUCUUCCAGCCCCCACAGGGCAGGAAGGCCAGUGCACCAUGCAGGAGGAACAACCAUUCCGCCUCCGAGCCACCUGCCUCCCAAUGCGGACUGGAAGCGCAGUAGCAGGGAAACGCAAGAAUCCUGAGCCACAAAAUUAAGGAAAUAUAGUGAUUAGGGGAAAAAAAAAAUAUCCUGUGUGCGGGACUUGGAGCAUCUAACCUAAGGGGGAAGGAGCAAAGCCUGUCUCUGUGCCAAAGCCCCUGAGCACAGGCAGGCGGGGGACAGGCAGCCCAUUGCAUCUCCCCUGGCAGCCUGUGUUGGCCACUUGGCACAGUGGAGCCAUAGGUCUCCUGCCAGCCUCAGCUGCGCUUCCUCCCUGCACCCCCAUCGCCUGCUAUUCAGCCUCAGUUCGGCCGUGCCCAGCAGUGCCAGCAUCGCUCCCCUUCUCCCCCGUGUUUGGUGGCUCUGGGAGAACAGAGAAAGGCAAGGAGCUGCUUUUGCGUUCACCGGUACACCCCCAAGUGGACAGCAAGGAAAAAGGGGAGAGAAGGCACGGACAAGUUUUGGAUGGCUUGCAGAGGUACAGGCUCAGCUGGCUGGCUCUGGAGGGAUGUGCUCACAAAGCUCUUGGAAGCGUUCCGACGGGUCAGCGCCUGUCAAAGCCAAUACUGCAGUUUCCUGGGGUCUACGAGCCAUGAUGUGUUCAGGAGUCCCUAAGGCUCCAGCUACAGUGGACACGGGGAAGUGAUUCAGCAAAGGAAUAUUCCUCAUUGCCAAAAGAAGAAAUGCAGCCGGGCAGGUUGGUUUCUCAGCUGAGUUCUGCUUGACAAAUUCUGAAGCAAGGGUCUCUCUGAUGCUGGUGUCACUCCCGGGCAGUGCACAGGGGCCAGAGGGAGAUUCAGACGCACCGAUUGUAAUUACAGAGCUGCCAAAGCUUCCAGGAAAAAUAGCAAGCAUCAGUCUGCAUUAAUCUUUGCUGGAUUUCCUGUGACUUUCAGGCAAUUUCAGAGGGACCAGAAAGAAUCCUUCUGUGAGGGAAAUCCAGCUUGCAAAGCCACUGUUUGCUCACAGAAAGCUUCCUCCACUACCUCUCUUUCAAAUACAGGUUCCUCCUACCAUACGUAACCGAAACUUUUUUUCCUCAAGGAGUAACUAGCUCCUGUAGCUCUACUGCCCCCUAAAAUAAUUGCCUCUGGUUAGAAGACCAACAUUAAUGAAGUACUACUUAACAUCUACACAGGGCUUUUCAUCAGUCACUCUCCAAGCAUUUCACAAAAGUGUGUCCUUUCACAGCUGGGGACAAGGAGGCAGUGUGACUGCACAGCUUCUGAGAGGCCAGUCCCUGGGAUGCAGUGUGACAGUCCAGGGCUGCCCACCCAGCCUGGUGGCCUCUCUUCAGGCCACAUUGUGUCUUUCAUGGGCUGCCACAGUGGCCCAUGAGGACGCCAACACUAAAGGAUACAAAUCUUCAAUUUACACAUUGGGGUGCAGAAUGCAAAGGUGAGCACCUCAUGUAGGAAAGGUCUGUAGGAUUCUCAUCACUAAUGAUGCCAUUCUAGAAGUAUUUCUUAUUAGACUGCUGUAGAGCAAGCUGUUCUGUGAGCAGAAUACACCAAGCCUGCCUCCCCGUGGGUUCUUGUCUGCUGUCUCAAAAAUCCCCCGUGCUGUAAUGAAAGCCAGAUUCCUUCAUAUUCCCUGUGACAUCCCCCGUAGGAAGAAGAAAUCCAUGCUGUGGCUAGCCUAGAAACACGUGCUUGUUUCCUAGUGGACCAAAAUGAAAGACAAAAUGCAGUCACCAUUUAGCCUGAUUGGCUGCUGCCAUGCACCACCUACAUAAUUCACGGAUUUUCCCCUAUGGAGGGAGUGGAACAUUACCUAAUCACCAGUUUUUAAGAGACAUCCAGGAAUAAGUUACUUUUUAGCCUUCCGCCCUCUUCUAAAUGUGGUUGAAAUUGGUUGCACUGAAAAGUUAUUGGGAGGAAGAACAUAUGGACAAACAGAUACACAUGUACUAUCAGCUAGGCUUCAUUUACCAAGGAAAUCAAACUAAAAAUAUUAGAGUGGAUUAAAGUCAACUGACUAGUCAAUGAGGAGCAUGCUUCUUUUUUAUGCUUUCCAUUUUAGAUAGUUUGCAUCCUCUGAUGCUGUAUUGGGUCUGCAUGGCAAAGUUUUGAUGGGGAGGCUUCUGUAGGAAGCUGCCAGAAGCUUCCUCUGCAACUGAUAGUGCCAAGGCCAGAUGGCUCCAAGACAAACCCACCUCUGGCCAAGUCCAAGCCCGUCAGGCAGCGGGCUGAUCCCAGUCCAAGUCUCUGGGAUGACAUAUUUAAGAAAGGGGGCAAGCUGUGCAACAGCAACCAGGAGAGAAGGGUGAGAAUAUGUGAGAGAAACAGCCCUUAAUACACCAAGGUCAGGGAAGAAGAAAGGGAAGGAGGUGCUACAGGCACUGGAGCAGAGAUUCCCCUGCAGCCUGUAGUGAAGACCACGGUGAGGCAGGCUGUCCCCCUGCAGCUGAUGGAGGUCCAGGGUAGAUCAGUUAUGCACCUGCAGCUUGCAGAGGACCCCUUGGUGGAGCAGGUGGAUGCCCAAAGGAGGUCAUGACCCCAUGGGAAGCCCACACUGGAGCAAGCUCCUGGCAGGACCUGGAGCCCCAUGGAGAGAGGAGCCCACACUGGAGUAGGUUUGCUGGCAGGACUUAUCCCGUAGGGGACCCAGACUGGAGCAGGCUGUUCCUGAAGGACUGCACCCCAUGGAAGGGACCUGCACUGAAACAGCUCAUGAGGAACUGCAGCCUGUGGGAUGGACUCACGUUGGAGAAAUUCGUGGAGGACUGUCUCCCAUUGGAGGGACUCCACACUGGAGAAGGAGAAGAAUGUGAAGAGUCCUCCCUCUGAAGAGGAAGGAGUGGCAGAGACAAUGUGUGGUGAACUAACUGCAACCCCCAUUCCCUGCCCUCCUGCACCACUGCAAGGGAAGAGGGAUCAAAAAUCAGGAGUGAAGUUAAACCCAUGAGGAAGGGAGGGGUCAGGGAAAUAUGUUUCAAGAUUUGGGUUUCCUUCUUACAAUCCUGAUUUGUUUUGAUUGGUAACAAAUCAAAUGAAUUUCCCCCAA